CUUUAAAACACUGAGCAUUCUUAUCUAAAGAAAGAUCUGAGGUGGUCAGUAAAUGAUGGGCUUGUUGAUACAACUGGAGAAUUUAAGUGUAGAGCAGAUACUCACUUCGCUAGUGAAGGCAAAUAACACAGCUGAGAAGAAUAAUUUCUAAGAAUAGUGGCCCUGAGAAAGCUUAGCAACAUAAAUCCUGAACAUGGCCAAUCCCUGAAAGGGAUGCUUGGUGCUACUAGAAGAAAGCUGCCUGGAAACCCCAGAAGCUCCCAUGCAAGUCUGUAUUCCUGCUAAGGACUCCGCUUGUUUUUCUGGAUAUCUGUCGCUUCAAGCUGCUUUAUUAGUUGGAAGAUGUGUGACUAAAUCGCCAGGGCUACUUUGAAAACCUUAUCUGAAGCUGGCUACAGCUCCAGAAAGCUGCUGUAGUCUCCUGGUGAUGGACUCAAAUAUUUUUAUUACAGACCACUAUGUUGUAAGAGAAAUUCAGUCUUGUGGUUGACUCUGGCAUUUCUGCAUUCGUAACUUUGACCUAAGCUUGUCCAGGGUGUUUUCAGCAGUUAAUACUUUAUUUUAUUGUCUCAUACUGGUAAGCAAUUAUGUCCUGCAGCUAAUUUAUAUAGCCGAGGCGCUCUUCUGCC